AUCAUUUUUUCUUUUGUAGCUAGAACUUUUCGUAUUAAUAUUAUAUCUAAAAAUCCACUAUCAAACCUAAUGUCACUCAUUACAUGUAAAGCAUACUUUCUUUUUCAACUAUUCUAGUGGUUCCCCAGAGUAUCCAAUACACAUUUGUUACUAAUCUAAGAUCACCUUCAAAUAGCACUCCACCAGUUCACAUAUAGUGCAGGUACCUUAAUAAGAAGUUACAGCGUGCUGGCAGCCCUUGCUCGCUCUCCGUGUCUCCUCGGCCUGGACGUCCACUCUGGCCACGCUUGAGGAGCCCUUCGCCCCACCGCUGCACUGUGGGAGCCCGUCUGUGGGCUGGCCAAGGCCGGAGCAUGCUCCCUCUGCUUGCGGGGAGGUGUGGAGGGAGAGGCACAGGCGGGAACUGAGGCUGCGCGCGGCACACGCGGGGGCGGCCCUGCACUCAGAGCGGUCAGGCUGGCGCCACAGGCCCUGGGCAGUGAGGGGCUUAGCACCCAGGGCCAGCCGCUGCGGAGUAUGCGCUGAGUUCCGCAUCACUGCCAGCCCGCCCGCUCUAGGCUCGAAUUCUUGCCAGGCCUCAGCCGCCUCGCUGUGGGGCAGGGCCCGGGACCUGCAGCCCGCCAUGCCCGAGCCUUUCCCCGCCCGCGCCUUCCCCCGUGGGCUCCCAGCGGCCAGCGGGAGUCUCCCCAACGGCACUGCCCCCUGCUUCGUGGCGCCUGGUCCCAUCAACCACCCAAGGGCUGACUAGUGCAGGCACCUGGCGUGGGACUGGCGGGCAGCUCCCCCAGCGGCCCCAGCGCGGGAUCUGCUAGGCAAGCCAGCUGGGCUCCCCAGUGAGGUGGGGUCUUGGAGAACUUUUGUGUCUAGCUGGAGGAUUGUAUAUGCGCCAAACAGCACUCUGUGUCUAGCUCAAGGUUUGUAAACGCACCAAUCAGCACCCUGUCAAAACAGGCCAAUCAGCUCUCUGCAAAAUGGACCAAUCAGCAGGAUGUGGGUGGGGUCAGGUGAGGGAAUACAAGCAGGCUGCCACAAGGGACAGUGAUAACCGGCUUGGGUCCGUUUCCGUGGUGUGGAGGGUUUGUGUUUUUGCUGUUUGCAGUAAAUCUUGCUGCACACUCUUUGGGUCCACACUGCCUUUAUGAGCUGUGACAACCACCGGGAAGGUCUGCAGCUUCACUCCUGAGGCCGGUGAGACCAGGAACCCACUGAGAGGAAUGAAUAACUCCAGACGUGCUGCCUUAAGAGCUGUAACACUCACCGCGAAGGUCUGCAGCUUCACUCCUGAAGCCAGCAAGACCACAAACCCACCAGAAGGAAGAAACUCCGAACACGUCUGAACGUCAGAACAAAUUCCGGACACACCAUCUUUAAGAACUGUAACACUCACCACUAGGGUCUGCAGCUUCAUUCUUGAAGUCAGUGAGACCAAGAACCCACCAAUUCUGGACACGUUAAUAGAAUAGUCCCAGUUCAUCCUUCAUAUCUUUUGUAACAUAACCAUCAGGCAUUUCACUUACCCACAUGCUGUAAUUGCCCAAAACAUUUACUAAUAUUACUUUAAACAAACAUGUAGUUUAAAAAGAUUUACAAUAAGAAAAAUAAAACAUUUUUUUUUCCUUUUUCAACAUACUUGCUUUCUUAUUGUAAAUACAGGUUUCUGAUCUAUAUCACUCUUCUCCUCCAUGAAUAACCUCUUUUAACACAUUUGCAGGAAAGUUUUCUGGCAAUAUAUUCCGUUAGUGUUUUAUUGUCUGGUAAAUUCUGAUUUCCCCUCUGCUUUUGAAGUAUAAUUUUGCUAGAUGUAGAAUUCUAAGUUGGUGCAUUUAUUCCUAAACAUUUCCCGCAACUCUCUUCUUUCUUGCCUGGUUUCUUACUGGAAGUGGGCUGAAAUCCUUGCUCUUUUUUCUCUACAAGGAAUGUAGUUUUCAUUCCAGAUUCUGUCAAGAUUUUCUCUUUGUCUAUUUAUUGAUUUAUUUUAUUUUAUUUUAUUCUACAUAUAGGUAAUGCUAUGUCUGGUGCUGUAUUUUUGUUGUUUGUCAUGAAUUGUAUUCUCUGAGCUUCCUGGACCGGUUGUUUGUUUCAUGUCAUUAUGCUUUAAAAUUUCUUGACCAUUACUCAUUUAGAUAGAUUCUCCUCAUUUCUCUCUUUCUUGUCUUUCUGCUAUUCCAGUUUCCCAUUUUGUACAACUUUAGAAACUGCCCAGCGGGUCUUUGAUGUCCUUCACUUUUUUUUUCCGUUUAUUUUUUCUUGGCACUUUGUUUUAAAAUGUAUUUUUGACCUAUCUUUAGUUUCACCAAUUCUUUCCCCAAACAUGUCUGGUCUACUAAUGAAACCAUUGAAAGCAUUUUAAAAAAAUCUAUUGGCG
rnacentral:lncRNA from 1 species